UACGUAGGGGGGCUAGCGUUGUCCGGAUUUAUUGGGCGUAAAGAGCGUGUAGGCGGCCAGGUAGGUCUGGUGUGAAAACUCGAGGCUUAACCUUGAGAUGUCAUCGGAAACCAUUUGGCUAGAGUCCGGAAGAGGAAAGUGGAAUUCCUGGUGUAGCGGUGAAAUGCGCAGAUAUCAGGAGGAACACCGGUGGCGAAGGCGGAUCUCUGGGCCUUACCUGACGCUCAGGUGCGAAAGCUAGGGGGAGCGAACAGG
rnacentral:rRNA from 1 species